GAUGAACGCUGGCGGCGUGCUUAACACAUGCAAGUCGAACGGAAAGGCCCAAGCUUGCUUGGGUACUCGAGUGGCGAACGGGUGAGUAACACGUGGGUGAUCUGCCCUGCACUUCGGGAUAAGCCUGGGAAACUGGGUCUAAUACCGGAUAGGACCACAUUUUGGAUGGUGUGGUGGAAAGUUUUUCGGUGUGGGGUGAGCUCGCGGCCUAUCAGCUUGUUGGUGGGGUAAUGGCCUACCAAGGCGUCGACGGGUAGCCGGCCUGAGAGGGUGUACGGCCACAUUGGGACUGAGAUACGGCCCAGACUCCUACGGGAGGCAGCAGUGGGGAAUAUUGCACAAUGGGCGCAAGCCUGAUGCAGCGACGCCGCGUGGGGGAUGACGGCCUUCGGGUUGUAAACUCCUGUCGCUAGGGACGAAGCGUUAUGUGACGGUACCUGGAGAAGAAGCACCGGCUAACUACGUG
rnacentral:rRNA from 1 species